rnacentral:rRNA from 1 species
UACAGAGGGGGCAAGCGUUAUUCGGAAUUAUUGGGCGUAAAGGGCGCGUAGGCGGCCUGGCAAGUGGAAGGUGAAAUCCCUCGGCUUAACCGAGGAACUGCCCUCCAAACUGCUUGGCUUGAGUCCGGGAGAGGUGAGUGGAAUUCCCAGUGUAGCGGUGAAAUGCGUAGAUAUUGGGAGGAACACCAGUGGCGAAGGCGGCGACCUGGUCCGACACUGACGCUGAGGCGCGAAAGCGUGGGGAGCAAACAGG